rnacentral:rRNA from 1 species
UACGUAGGGGGCUAGCGUUGUCCGGAAUCAUUGGGCGUAAAGCGCGUGUAGGCGGCCCGGUAAGUCCGCUGUGAAAGUCGGGGGCUCAACCUCGGAUGCCGGUGGAUACUGUCGGGCUUGAGUACGGAACAGGCGGUGGAGCGGUGAAAUGCGUAGAUAUCGCCUGGAACGCCGAAGGUGAAAACAGUCUGCUGGGGGCGUACCGACGGCUGAGACACGAAAGCCAGGGAGCGAACGGG